rnacentral:rRNA from 1 species
AUACCACGUUGAAAGCACCGGUUCUCGUCCGAUCACCGAAGUUAAGCAACGUUGGGCCCGGCUAAUAUGUGCGUCGGUGGCACAGCGGUCAGGA